rnacentral:tRNA from 1 species
CUGAACAGGCGGGCCUCG